CGUCGAUCAAACCCACCAAGAUACUUCCCUAGAACCCAGGAAUCAUGCUUAGUCAUUUGUCGAGAUGGCCGACCCCCACCCACUGUGGCACAUGGCCAGUGGGUCGUUAAUGCUAUUUUUAGGUUAAAUUAGAUGCCUUGAGUUCAGUUCUGAUAAUUGUUUGAUGUAGGUUGAUCGUUGGAACCUAAAAUCUCUACGAUAUGUUGAUAGGUCAUUAUAUAAAUCAAUGAUCCACCCGUUGGAUCAUCAUCAAACUUUAAUAGGUUAUUAUUAAGGAAUGUAGGAAUUUACAGAUCGGGAAUCCAACGUACGGAUCUUCCUGAAUUGGAUUUGUAAGUUCAUAAAAUAAAACGUUAACUGCCAUUUGAUUUUGGCAAUUGGCGGAGAUCCGACUGUUGGAUCGUUCUUAAACUUUAGUAUGUUAUUCUAGAAACAUAAUGUGGAUCUUUGGAAGUUACGGAUCAAAAAUCUAAUAUGCAGAUCUUUCAAAUCAAAUUACGUAGGGAUGUGUUUUAUGUAAGUUACAUAUUCUAUCGAUAAGA
rnacentral:lncRNA from 1 species